GAUGAACGCUGGCGGCGUGCCUAAUACAUGCAAGUCGAGCGAAUGGAUUAAGAGCUUGCUCUUAUGAAGUUAGCGGCGGACGGGUGAGUAACACGUGAGUAACCUGCCCAUAAGACUGGGAUAACUCCGGGAAACCGGGGCUAAUACCGGAUAACAUUUUGAACCGCAUGGUUCGAAAUUGAAAGGCGGCCUCGGCUGUCACUUAUGUAUGGACCCGCGUCGCAUUAGCUAGUUGGUGAGGUAACGGCUCACCAAGGCAACGAUGCGUAGCCGACCUGAGAGGGUGCUCGGCCACACUGGGACCGAGACACGGCCCAGACUCCUACGGGAGGCAGCAGUAGGGAAUCUUCCGCAAUGGACGAAAGUCUGACGGAGCAACGCCGCGUGAGUGAUGAAGGCUUUCGGGUCGUAAAACUCUGUUGUUAGGGAAGAACAAGUGCUAGUUGAAUAAGCUGGCACCUUGACGGUACCUAACCAGAAAGCCACGGCUAACUACGUGCCAGCAGCCGCAGUAA
rnacentral:rRNA from 1 species